GGGUUGUGAGGUUAAGCGACUAAGCGUACACGGUGGAUGCCCUGGCAGUCAGAGGCGAUGAAGGACGUGCUAAUCUGCGAAAAGCGCCGGCGAGGUGAUAUGAACCUUUGACCCGGCGAUGUCCGAAUGGGGAAACCCAGUGUGUUCCGACACACUAUCGUUAACUGAAUACAUAGGUUAACGAGGCGAACCGGGGGAACUGAAACAUCUAAGUACCCCGAGGAAAAGAAAUCAACCGAGAUUCCCCCAGUAGCGGCGAGCGAACGGGGAGCAGCCCAGAGUCUGAAUCAGCUUGUGUGUUAGUGGAAGCGUCUGGAAAGUCGCACGGUACAGGGUGACAGUCCCGUACACGAAAGCACACAGGNUGUGAACUCGAAGAGUAGGGCGGGACACGUGGUAUCCUGUCUGAAUAUGGGGGGACCAUCCUCCAAGGCUAAAUACUCCUGACUGACCGAUAGUGAACCAGUACCGUGAGGGAAAGGCGAAAAGAACCCCGGCGAGGGGAGUGAAAAAGAACCUGAAACCGUGUACGUACAAGCAGUGGGAGCCUCUUUUAUGGGGUGACUGCGUACCUUUUGUAUAAUGGGUCAGCGACUUAUAUUCUGUAGCAAGGUUAACCGUAUAGGGGAGCCGAAGGGAAACCGAGUCUUAACUGGGCGUUAAGUUGCAGGGUAUAGACCCGAAACCCGGUGAUCUAGCCAUGGGCAGGUUGAAGGUUGGGUAACACUAACUGGAGGACCGAACCGACUAAUGUUGAAAAAUUAGCGGAUGACUUGUGGCUGGGGGUGAAAGGCCAAUCAAACCGGGAGAUAGCUGGUUCUCCCCGAAAGCUAUUUAGGUAGCGCCUCGUGAACUCAUCUUCGGGGGUAGAGCACUGUUUCGGCUAGGGGGCCAUCCCGGCUUACCAACCCGAUGCAAACUACGAAUACCGAAGAAUGUUAUCACGGGAGACACACGGCGGGUGCUAACGUCCGUCGUGAAGAGGGAAACAACCCAGACCGCCAGCUAAGGUCCCAAAGUCAUGGUUAAGUGGGAAACGAUGUGGGAAGGCACAGACAGCCAGGAUGUUGGCUUAGAAGCAGCCAUCAUUUAAAGAAAGCGUAAUAGCUCACUGGUCGAGUCGGCCUGCGCGGAAGAUGUAACGGGGCUAAACCAUGCACCGAAGCUGCGGCAGCGACGCUUAUGCGUUGUUGGGUAGGGGAGCGUUCUGUAAGCCGUUGAAGGUGUCCUGUGAGGGGUGCUGGAGGUAUCAGAAGUGCGAAUGCUGACAUAAGUAACGAUAAAGCGGGUGAAAAGCCCGCUCGCCGGAAGACCAAGGGUUCCUGUCCAACGUUAAUCGGGGCAGGGUGAGUCGACCCCUAAGGCGAGGCCGAAAGGCGUAGUCGAUGGGAAACAGGUUAAUAUUCCUGUACUUGGUGUUACUGCGAAGGGGGGACGGAGAAGGCUAUGUUAGCCGGGCGACGGUUGUCCCGGUUUAAGCAUGUAGGCGGAACGAUUAGGUAAAUCCGGUCGUUUAUUAACGCUGAGGUGUGAUGACGAGGCACUACGGUGCUGAAGUAACAAAUGCCCUGCUUCCAGGAAAAGCCUCUAAGCAUCAGGUAACAUCAAAUCGUACCCCAAACCGACACAGGUGGUCAGGUAGAGAAUACCAAGGCGCUUGAGAGAACUCGGGUGAAGGAACUAGGCAAAAUGGUGCCGUAACUUCGGGAGAAGGCACGCUGAUAUGUAGGUGAAGCCCCUGCGGGUGGAGCUGAAAUCAGUCGAAGAUACCAGCUGGCUGCAACUGUUUAUUAAAAACACAGCACUGUGCAAACACGAAAGU
rnacentral:rRNA from 1 species